GACGAACGCUGGCGGCGGGCUUAACACAUGCAAGUCGAACGGAAAGGCCCUGCGUGUGUGGGGUGCUCGGGUGGCGAACGGGUGAGUAACACGUGAGUAACCUGCCCUUGACUUUGGGAUAACUUCAGGAAACUGGGGCUACUACCGGAUCGGAUAUCCUGCUGGAUGGUGGGGGUUGGAAAGUUUCGGCUGUUGUGGAUGGACGCGCGGCUGAUCAGCUUGUUGGUGGGGUAGUGGCUGACCCAGGCUUUGACGGGUCGCCGGCCGGAGAGGGUGACCGGCGACCUGGGGACUGAGAUACGCACCAGACGCCUAUGGGAGGCAGCAGUGGGGAAUAUUGCCCAAUGGUAGGACGUCUGAUGAAGAAACGCCGCGGUCGGGAUGACGUCCUUCUGGUUGUAAACCGCUUUCGCCUGUGACGAAGCGUGAGUGACGGUAAUGGGUAAAGAAGCACCGGCUAACUACGUG
rnacentral:rRNA from 1 species